rnacentral:rRNA from 1 species
ACUCAAAUGAAUAGACGGGGACCCGCACAAGCGGUGGAGCGUGUUCUUUAAUUCGACGCUAAGCGAAGAACCUUACCAGGGCUUGACAUCCUUGGAAUUUCUGCGAAAGCAGAAAGUGCCUUUUGGAGCCAAGUGACAGGUGUUGCAUGGCCGUCGUCAGCUCGUGUCGUGAGAUGUUUGGUUAAGUCCAUUAACGAGCGCAACCCUUAUGAUUAGUUGGAUUUUUCUAAUCAGACUGCCUCGGUAACGGGGAGGAAGGAGGGGAUGAUGUCAGGUCAUUAUUACCCUUACGUCCUGGGCUAGAAACGCGCUACAAUGGCCGGUACAGAGGGCUGCCAACCCGUGAGGGGGAGCAAAUCCCAUCAAAGCCGGUCCCAGUUCGGAUUGCAGGCUGAAACUCGCCUGCAUGAAGCCGGAAUCGCUAGUAAUCGUGGGUCAGCACACCACGGUGAAUACGUUCCCGGGUCUUGUACACACCGCCCGU